UACGGAGGGUGCAAGCGUUGUUCGGAAUUACUGGGCGUAAAGCGCGUGUAGGCGGUUUGGUAAGUCAGAUGUGAAAGCCCUGGGCUCAACCCAGGAAGUGCAUUUGAAACUGCCUUACUCGAGUAUGGGAGAGGAGAGUGGAAUUCCCAGUGUAGAGGUGAAAUUCGUAGAUAUUGGGAGGAACACCCGUGGCGAAGGCGACUCUCUGGACCAAUACUGACGCUGAGACGCGAAAGCGUGGGGAGCAAACAGG
rnacentral:rRNA from 2 species